CAGCAGCCGCGGGAAUACGAAGGGGGCUAGCGUUGUUCGGAAUUACUGGGCGUAAAGCGUGCGCAGGCGGUUUGUUAAGACAGAUGUGAAAUCCCCGGGCUCAACCUGGGAACUGCAUUUGUGACUGGCAAGCUAGAGUAUGGCAGAGGGGGGUGGAAUUCCGCGUGUAGCAGUGAAAUGCGUAGAUAUGCGGAGGAACACCGAUGGCGAAGGCAGCCCCCUGGGCCAAUACUGACGCUCAUGCACGAAAGCGUGGGGAGCAAACAGGAUUAGAUACCCCCGUAGUCCCUGUCUCUUAUAC
rnacentral:rRNA from 1 species